rnacentral:sRNA from 1 species
AGGGCUCUAGGCCUGCGUGUUCAUCACCACCAAAGAUGAUAGUUUAUCUUUUCCUCUGCCCUUUUUGCCACAAAAAUGUGACUUCCUCCUCCUGCCCUGUGUUUGGUUUCAGGCCAACAUAGCCGAGGUAGAGGUCUCCAUCCCUGCCAAGCUGCACAACUCCCUCAUUGGCACCAAGGGCCGUCUGAUCCGCUCCAUCAUGGAGGAGUGCGGCGGGGUCCACAUUCACUUUCCCGUGGAAGGUUCAGGAAGCGACACCGUUGUUAUCAGGGGCCCUUCUUCGGAUGUGGAGAAGGCCAAGAAGCAGCUCCUGCAUCUGGCGGAGGAGAAGCAAACCAAGAGUUUCACUGUUGACAUCCGCGCCAAGCCAGAAUACCACAAAUUCCUCAUCGGCAAGGGGGGCGGCAAAAUCCGCAAGGUGCGCGACAGCACUGGAGCACGUGUCAUCUUCCCUGCGGCUGAGGACAAGGACCAGGACCUGAUCACCAUCAUCGGAAAGGAGGACGCCGUCCGAGAGGCACAGAAGGAGCUGGAGGCCUUGAUCCAAAACCUGGUAGGGAGCGGGCCUCGGCGGCCGACUCUGCCGGGGCCGUGAUGGGGUGGCUUAUCUUCCGUCUCUUCUUAACGCUGCAGGAUAAUGUGG